UACGAAGGGGGCUAGCGUUGUUCGGAAUUACUGGGCGUAACGCGCACGUAGGCGGACAUUUAAGUCAGGGGUGAAAUCCCAGAGCUCAACUCUGGAACUGCCUUUGAUACUGGGUGUCUUGAGUAUGGAAGAGGUGAGUGGAAUUCCGAGUGUAGAGGUGAAAUUCGUAGAUAUUCGGAGGAACACCAGUGGCGAAGGCGGCUCACUGGUCCAUUACUGACGCUGAGGUGCGAAAGCGUGGGGAGCAAACAGG
rnacentral:rRNA from 1 species